AAACGUUUCUGUCAUAAUGCUAAAACGCCACAGACAAAGACGACAGUGAUGAAGAUAAGGACAGUUCUUCUGAAGAAGAGAAGGACGGAUAGAACUCUGAUUCAGAUUCUGAUGUAGACAGCGACAGAGAAGACAGCAAGAAUGGCAGCCAGGAUGACAGCGAGGCUGAAUCAGACCCAAACAGUGAAGACGACACCAAGUCAGAGGACGCAGACAAUAGUAUGAUGAAAAAGUCCAACGAUUCUGACAAUUCUGAGGAGAAUGAUAAUGACAAAGAUGACUCUGAUUCAGAGGAUUGACAAUCUUAGUGGGAUGCAGAGCCAGGAGUGGAGAUUCACACUGGUUUGUUUUCUCUGGCCUGACUUCAAAUGACCUAGGACCAGAAUCUGGUGUCAUCCACACGUAUAUAUCAACUAUCAAAUAGCAUUACAUUUCUUAAAACACCAUGGGAAAAGUGUUCUUGCAUGGUCCUGUGGUCCUGUGGUUCGUUCAGCAAAAACUGUAUUUUUCCACUUUCCUGUCAGAUAAGUCAUACCAAUGCAUGUAAAAACUAUGAAUACAA